AACGUAGGAUCCGAGCGUUAUCCGAAUUCACUGGGCGUAAAGCGCAUGCAGGCGGCCGAACAAGUUGGAUGUGAAAGCUCCCGGCUCAACUGGGAGAGGACGUACAAGACUGUUUGGCUCGAGGACGGUAGAGGGAGGUGGAAUUCCCGGUGUAGUGGUGAAAUGCGUAGAUAUCGGGAGGAACACCAGAGGCGAAGGCGGCCUCCUGGACCGGACCUGACGCUCAGAUGCGAAAGCUAGGGGAGCGAACGGG
rnacentral:rRNA from 1 species